GAUGAACGCUGGCGGCGUGCCUAAUACAUGCAAGUCGAGCGAACGGACGAGUAGCUUGCUUCUCUGAUGUUAGCGGCGGACGGGUGAGUAACACGUGGAUAACCUACCUAUAAGACUGGGAUAACUUCGGGAAACCGGAGCUAAUACCGGAUAAUAUUUUGAACCGCAUGGUUCAAAAGUGAAAGACGGUCUUGCUAUCACUUAUAGAUGGAUCCGCGCUGCAUUAGCUAGUUGGUAAGGUAACGGCUUACCAAGGCAACGAUGCAUAGCCGACCUGAGAGGGUGAUCGGCCACACUGGAACUGAGACACGGUCCAGACUCCUACGGGAGGCAGCAGUAGGGAAUCUUCCGCAAUGGGCGAAAGCCUGACGGAGCAACGCCGCGUGAGUGAUGAAGGUCUUCGGAUCGUAAAACUCUGUUAUUAGGGAAGAACAUAUGUGUAAGUAACUGUGCACAUCUUGACGGUACCUAAUCAGAAAGCCACGGCUAACUACGUG
rnacentral:rRNA from 1 species